AAGGAUUAUUAUAUUAUCCUAGCCUCUAUAAUUGAGGUUUGGGCUUAGCCAUUUGUAAAAGGCCGAGAGGGAGAUCAAGUGAUCAAGAGAAAAAAGUAAAGAUCGAAACGGAUGCAGAACUGAAUCCAUGGUCAUUAAGUCGAACGAUGCAAAUUAUUAUUCAAGAUGAUACCUAUAGAGACAUGAUUAAUUGGGAUUCAUUACCAAAAUCAUUUUUACCCCCAAGUUUAAACUCGAGGACAGUGACCUUUCAGAAUCAAAAGCUUUUAUCUUGAUAGUUGAACCAGAUGACUGCAUAGCUGCAGUAAAAGCAUAUAUUCAAGAGGAAAGGGGAAUUCCAUUUAAGAAACAGAAGCUAUUGAACAAAGAUGGGGGAGUUUUAAGAGAUACACAGACUCUUAUUUCUGCGAAAAUCAAGCAAGGUUCUAACUUAAUCCUUCGAUAUGCACCAAUAACACAAAUAUCUGUGAAAACGCAAACUGAAUGCACUAUAUGGUUAAUGGUUGAGGGUGAUGAUACCGUUACGGAUGUUAAGGCUGUAAUUCAAGAAAAGGAGGGAAUUAGGUUUCAUAAACAGAUGUUACUCUACAAUGGACGAUUAUUAGAAGAUGACAAGCUUCUUGUCCAUUGCGGAAUCCAGUAUGACAGUGUUUUGGAUCUUCUCUUAAGGUUGUGCGGUUGUUGAAUAUUCCACAAUCUGGCAAGGAUAUAUACAGGGUUAUGUUUUUUUUUUUUAACUGACUUUUUGUAGAUUUUCUCUAUGUUUUUCCUGUAAUUGUUGAACAACUUCCAGCAUAAUGUUUGGUAAGUGCGUCGGAGCUAAGCAUGGAUCGAUUAUCCUUUUCAAUCAAUUUGUUUUCACUUUCUUUGUC